UGACACCACCAGGAGCUGACUCACACCUGAACUGAACACCAUUGAAGGCUUAAACCCAUAUUGUAAAACAGUACUGGGAUGUCGCUUUAGGGUAGGGAAAUGUGUUCCGAAAAUCUGUCUUGGAGAAAGCAGGCAAGGAAACAGCGCUUUUUCCAUCACCAAAUCUGAUCCCACGCCUGUUGGAAUCAAGCCUGGAGUUUAUAGUGUUCGCAUUUGAAGGUCUCUGGGCUGCAGAUCACCCCACUGUUUGCUGUUUCCUGUGCCGCACAGUCUUCUCCCUCUAGAAGUAAGCAUUUCUCCAGUCUUCCUUUUGUUGUGACUUCUCUUUCUUCAGUUAAGAGUUAAAUAAUAAUUACUGUUGCUCUAAAGAUGAGUUAAAAACCCAAAGUGCAGGCUAGAAUCCUGCCAUGAGGGUGUCAUGUCUCAGGAAGCUGGUUAAUGUCUGUCAGUUUAGUAUCAUUCAGAAUUGCCCGGAUUCUCUCCAAGGAGUCAGCUUGCCGGAUCCGCUCUAACUGCACCUGAAGGGUCUGUGAAAGCUUUACAAAAUCCCUCUGGACUUGCUCACUGACAUCUAAUUCUGUCUGUAAUCUCUGAGCUUUAUUCUUCUCUUCAAACAUUAGUUGUUCAACGGUAGCCUUAGCAGCAGUCUCUUUCUUUAACUGCUCUUCCAAACUGAUCUUUAUUUCCUGAAGACUCUCAAGCUGUUGAGACUUCUCUCUUAAUGUGGACUCCAACUGUCCUUUUUCCACUUUUAUUCUUUCUAAUUCAGCUUUUAGGCUAGAAAUAGAAGCUAUUUCCUCCUUGCAGUUUUCUAUUUCUAGUUGCAGAGUUUCUUCAAGAUUUUCUUUUAAACACUGUUCUGCUUGGAUCUGCUCUUUUAGGAAAAGUAUCUCAGCCUUCAGCUUUUCUUCUACGUGGUCUGCUGCUGUCCGCACAUUAAUGAUGUCCUCACGGUAUUUUAAUACCAACUCCCGCAGUGCCUGGUGACUCGAAUCUUCGCUGCUUUGCUUUAUGAAGUCUUCCAGCUCCUGCUUAUCUUUCAUUGUCUUCUCUAACUGGUCAUUAGCUUGCCUUAGCAUCAGCUGUAGUUUUUUCACCUGGUCUCUCGUUUCAGCCUCCUGAAUCUGAAUUCCUUGUAACUGUUUUUCGUAAUUGGAACACAUAUCACAACGUCUACCAAGUUUAUUUCCAGCAUUAUGUACCUCUUUCUGCAAGAGAUUCCAUUCUGUUUCACUAACUAAACGAUAACCACUAGGGGACACAUAGGCACUCUCCAUGCCCUGGGUAACGCUGGAGAGGAGGGACGCUGUCUCUUCUUGUUCUGGUGUCAUCGCCUUGAUUGCUCUUUCCUGAUCUUUGGUUAACAUAAACCCACUUGGCAUCUGGAGUGACCCAAGGGAUGCAGUAUCAAAGUUCUCAGACACUGAAUCUGCUCCUACCAGUGGUCCAAAAUCUGACUCGUCCAGGUUUCCAGCAGAUUUUGCUUUGUAGUUAUAGCCUAAAGCUUUGGAUUGCAAUGAGCCCGAGGUUCCCAAGCUGUCUGUAGACUGUGCUCUCCUGAGUCCAUCUUUAAACAUGUCAUUGUCCGAUUUACUGAAAGGAUCUCCAGAUGGCAACAGCAAGCCUGCAUCUAAGGAAUGAACUGAGCCACGGGUGCUGUCUAAAUGCUCCUGAAAUGUGAAAAUACAUAUGGCCAAGUUAGACAAUUCUCUGCGUUUUUAAAGACAAAAACUAUAAUAAAUGUAUUCCGCCACUCAUUACACAUGAUAAUCAUUAAUGUGCUACCUUCACAGACUCAUUGAACAAACACUAAGUGUCAUUUCUACAUGCUGGACACAAAACCAGGCCCUCAGGAUACAACUGUGAGCAAGAUAUAAUCCCUGACCUCGAGAUACAUACGGCUUC
rnacentral:lncRNA from 1 species